AACACUUUCCUUGCAACUCUGCCGCUGAUGUGAGCUCCCCACUGCUACCCCUGGGUGCACAGUCCUAGAAGAUGGUUGAACAGACAGCACAUGAUUAGUGGACAGAUGUGGAGUUGAAGAGAUAAAUAAAUGCCUCACUUUCCAGCAUGAAAUGAUAGAAAUGGAUGGAAGAAGAGAUAAUGAAGAGAUGGAUGGAUGGAUGCCCAUACUAGAGAAAUGGUGCGGUGAGUAGACGGCUGAAUUGAGGGUGGGGGUGUGUGUUAGACAUGUUCUGAUGGCCACAGGGGUGGCUAUAGGACUGAAUGGGUGCAUGCAUGAGCACCUGGUAGACAGAGCGAGGCGGACUCGGGGGUGGAUGAAUGGGUGGAUUCUGAAUGGACGGAUGCACAGUCAAUAGGAAGAUGUUUGGAGAGAUUGGAAAGUGAUGACCUGGAGGGGGGAGAGGCAAGUGGAUGAGGAGAUGGGUAAAGGGUUGGGUGAAAGGAUAGUUGGACCAGCGGAUUGGUAGAUGGAUGUCUCGGUGGUUGCAUGUUGCUUGGAGACAUGGAGAGAAGUGAGUGGAGAGGUAGAUGCAUGGAGUUGGAGUGUGUAGCUUUGGGGACCAGACCCACUGUAUUUGAAUCCAGGUUCUGAUAUUUAUGGAUGCUGUAACCUUGGUCGAGUUGAUUUCUUUUCUUUCUUGUUUCCUCAUCUGUUUCAGAGGAAUGACAGCAGUUCUUAGUUCCUGGCGUUUGUGGUGAGAAGUGAAUGAGCUGAUACACACAGAACCCUAAACCAGCACCUGGGGCAUAACUGGAUUUAUGGGGAUGGUCAGGAAGAUGGUCAGAUGAGCAGAUAAAUGAAUGCACAGUAUGUGACUGACCCAAGGAAGAAAGGAGCAAUGGGGGGUGAGUGGGGUCACAGACACAUGAGACACUUACACACUUUAUUAGGUGCUCAGAAGGCAAUCCUAGAGGAUCUUUCUGUUUUCCCAGAACUGUGCCCAGGUAUAGAUCAGAUCUGGACAUAGGACAAGGCAACAUCACCAUGGAUUUCCAGCAUGUCCACACGCUGGAAGGCUGGGAGACGAUGGGCAUAGUCAAAGAGUUGCUGGCCAUUGGCGUAAACUUUGAAGCGGUCGUUGCCACAGCGAAUGGAGAGCUGUGGGAGAAGGGAGGGACGGGUGUGAGGCCCAGGAGUGGAGACAAGCAGGGAGCUAGGGAAGGGGACCCCGGACUCACAUCAAAGUACUGCCCCGGGCCAAAUGGGUUGAAGGGGAGCCUCCUCUCCUCAGGACCCCAUGAUCCAUUCAGAUGGCUGUUCCGGACCACGACGCCCUCAUGCAGACGGGGAUUAAUGUGCAGUGCCAGUUCCCCUGUGGAGCCCACCUUGAAGUUGAUGGCAAAGCUGGGAGCAAAGAGGGGAAGUCAAGUGCGGGUUCAGUGCCUGGGUCUCCAGAGGAGAAAGGACUGGGGUCUGGACCCCGGGUCUGAGAGGAAGCUGGGCCUGGGUCCUGAGUGUGAGGGAGGAGGCUGGGCCUGAACCCGAGGUCUGAGGGAGGGGACCAGGCCACUUUCACCUCAGUCUGGGGCUUUACCUCUUGGCUGUGGGGGGUACAAAGCCCUUGAUUAUGAUGGUCUUUCGGGGGGUGAGCCCCCCAUGCAGUCUCCCCGUAUAUGGCACAGGCUGUGGAGAACAUACAGUCCCAUCAGCUUUCAGAUUACCACAGUCCAGGUCCAGAAACAUUUUUUCAGAAAGAGGUUCUGUUCUUCCUGGAAAUGUCUCAAGACCCCUCCCUGACCCUAGUCACCAAUUAUACCUUCUCCCCACCUUCCACCCCAAACACCCUCAUCCCACCACUCCAUUACCCCUCUCCUGGCCUCUCCCUACCCCCAGUCCCUGCUUCCCCUUCACCGAGCCCGUCCAUGGGGCCCCAAACCUGCAGGACGACAUACCGGAUUGAAGACUGGGGGUCCCGACAUGACCUGUGAAGUGAGGGAGAAGCAAUAUUUUUGGGCCGUGCUGGAUGCAGCUCUGCACACAGGGGUUUCUCAGAGCAGGUUGAUCAAAGCCAGCCCCACACCCACCCUCAGCACCCCGGGCACAGCGCCCCGGCACUCACGGGCAGGUUGUUCAUGUGUGGAGGAGGUGCACCAUAGCCAGGACCCUAGAAGAUGCACAGAGGCAGGAUGAUGAGGCUGGGGCCUCCCCAGCCACUCUCCUCCCCCUUGGGAAAUCGUCCCCCAGCAGGUACUUACCGCUGGAUAGUGAGGCGGCCUACCCAUGGGUACCUGUGGGUACAGAGAGGAAGGUCAGGAAUGGAACCCCAUGUUCAGGACUACAGCGUGCUAAGAGUCCUGGCUCUGGGCAGCCCACUAUCACCAUGUGAGUGACCUCUGAAGCCCACAGAGACACAGGUGAUUGAUUCAAGCAGGGGACCCAAUGCCAAGCGGUCACCAGUGUCCUGUGGGCUUCACCACAAAGCCUUAGGACAAGGCCCGUGAACUGUGUUCUCUGCAGCAUCCCUGUGCUAUCUUCCUGCUGCCUCAGGACUCUCCCUUUUCCCCUCCCACUGCUCAGCGUGGAAACCACGUGAUAUGGAAGCACAGGUGGGUGUGGUGGCACACACUGUGAUCCCAGCAAUCUAGGAAGCUGAGGCAGGAGGAUCAUAAUUUGAGCUCAGCCUGGGCAAUUUAGUGAUUUCAUGAAACCCUGUCUCAAGACAGGAAAAAAAUAAAAACACAAACAAAUAAAUGCUUUGGGAAAUGUAAAGCCUUCAGAUGGGUACAUGUGUCAUCAGGUACCUGUGCUGCUGGAUGUGUGCCUUCCCUACGCUUCCUCACAGGUAAUAUUACCUAAAUCAAGAAUCAAGUUUUGGGGUUUUGUUUUGUUAUAGUAUGGGGAUUGAGCCCAGGGCCUUUUCAUCUCUUUCUGUCUCUCUGUCUCUCUGCCUCUCUGUCUCUCUCUCUCUCUCUCUCUCUCUCUCUCUCUCUCUCUUUGUAAUUGUUUUGUUGUGAGACACAGCUUCUCUAGGCUGGCUCACACUUGUGAUCCGUUGCCUCAGCCUCCAGAGUGCUGGGAUGACAGGUGUGCGCCACCACACUUGGCUCCGAGUCCAAGUUUUAUAGGGAAUUCCCUUUCCUUGUGGCUUUAUCACACAUCUCCCUACAUUCCCUUCUGAAUUUUUUCUUCUUUCGUGGCUACAAAUGUUUUUGUCUGAUUCUAUAUCUGAUGAUGAAAAGGCCCCUCCAUGUGCAUAGCUAUAAAUUGUUCGCUCUCAAGUUUGGGUCAUGAAUACACUGACUGUCCUUCCUCGCUCACCUGCUAAUGAACAUCCUGGUACUUUCAACUUUGAGGCUUUCUGGGUUUUGUUUCAUUUUGGUGUGUUGUUUCGGGGCCUCCCGUGCUAGAUGGCCCCAGCCUGGCUUGCAUAGGCGCUGCUGUGGGUAGCAGGUGGGUAUUGGCGGGCAUUUGCUCAAUUGGGACCUGGAAGUGGAGUUUCUAGACCACUUGGACAUGGGUUUAUUCAGCUUUCAGACACUGGCAGCCAUUUUCCAAGGAGCCUGUACAGUUCACGCCCCUCACAGCCCUGUGGCUGGCUGUCCCACAUGCUUGUCACUAAAUGAGACUGGGUGGCUUUUUUCUCUCUAUAGCUCUGAUGAGUGUGUGGCACCCACGCACUGUACCUUUGAGGUUCCCAAGUGACUAAUCCCAUGGUGCAUUUAAACAACCCAGGGUGAAUUUGUUUGCUGUUUGUGAAUCCUUUAUCUAUGCUUAUUGACUUAAUUCAACUCCUCCCUAGCCCCAAGCCUUCUGACUCCUGACUAGGCCAAGCUCUUCCUUUAGACUCAAACCACCUGUAGAUCUCCCACCUUGACCCACCCAUCUACCUGCAUCCCCCGUCAUGGGCUUAGCUACCACCAGAAGCCACCACCAUCUGUGGAUGUCUGUCAUCCCAGCGGAUGUUCUUGGUCACCACAGAGUCCUUGAUGCCACCGCCUGAUGGGACUGGCACCAAUCAAUUGCUCAGCAAUAAAUGAAAGUGAGAUGAGAUUAAAGAAGAAAGAAAGGAAGGAAGGAAGCAAAUAAAGGGGGGGACCCUACGUACGUGGCUUGGGGCAGACUGGCCUCCGAGGAAGUUGAUGGAUUGAAGCUGCAGGUCCCCAUCCACGUGCAGGUGGGUGACCAUCUGCAAGGGCAGCCGGUGCCGGUACUCAUAGAAGGGGUUUCCAUUCACCACGACCUGAAGGCCAGGAGGAGAGGGUUGAAUCAGUGCUAUGACUUUGGGGAGGAAGAAGCAAGGUUUUUUCAACUUGGGGUUCAAGGCCUUAGGGGUGAAGAGCCUCAGAAGUCAGAAACCUUGGAGCCUAGAGGCCCGAGGUACAGUUGGGGUAGAAACAAAUGUGCUCACAGCUGUAAUCCUAGCACUCUGGAGGCUGAGGCAGGAGGACGGCAAGUUCAACCCCAGCCUGGGCAAUUAGGUGAACUAGUGAGAACCUACCUCAAAAAUUAAAAAAUGAAAGAAAGAAAGAAAAAAAUUCAGUGGUGCAGUGCUGAGUAUGCUACACUGUAAAUAAAAGGCAGGCCCGCCCUGGAAGGAGAGGACUUGGGACGUGGCCCACCCUGGCAGGAGCAAUGGGCUCAUGGGGGUUCAGAGCUGGAGGUCAGGAUCCGGCUGCGGGGCUGGCUCUGGGCUACAUUCUGCUUGCAGAAAGCCCAGUGGUCUUGUUGUCAAAUACCACACGGCCACCUGUGCAGUAUGUCUCAGCGGUGUGGGCCUGUGCAGGCUCAGAUUCAAACACGCUGGGAAAAACAACAGAGGCCCGGCAUUUAAGAGACAGCAGAACAGGACAGGACACGACUCAUGGGGACGUGAAGAACAAUUCAUUUUAGGUGUGAUUAUGGCAUUGUGACUAUUAUGUGUUGUAAAGAAAGUAUUUAUGAACGGAAUGAUGUAAUGUCUGGAAUUUACUUUCAAAUAAUAUGGAAAGGGGAGCGUGUGGAAGAGAUGAAGGGCGGGGGCCAGAGGGGACAGCUGAGUGGGUGGGAGACAGGCUCUGUGUCUGAGGCUUCCUUUUGUGUGGGUCCAGAGUCGCUGGUCAAACACAGCUAGUGUCCUUGCUCAGUGAGACCCCAAAAGACAAGAUGUGGGUUCCUUGGGACAGAAGGCUCCCGGCAGGUGGAAGAAAGGAAUAGAAAGCUGGGCAUGGUGAAGCUGGAAUCCCAGCACUCUCUCCUGAGGCAGGAGUUUGAACCCAGGCUGGAUGGCUCUGCCUUAGUGAGACCCUGUCUCAAAAUAAAGAGUUGCAGAUACAGUUCAGUGCCAAACACUGGGUUCACUCAACAGUACCAGCAGGCCAAAAUGAAGCAGGAAGGGAGGAGGGAGGCGGAGGGGAGGGAGGAGGAGGGAAGGAAGAGGGAAGGCGGUGCUGGGACCUUGUAGUGCUCCUGCAGGAUCAUGAAGACCAGCUCGAAGGGGGAGCCCCUGCUGAAAGGCAUGCUCUUCUUCCGCUCCUCCUGGCCCCACUGGCCACCCUGCUGCGUGUUGAAGACCACCUUGUCCCAGCCGUCAAAGCGGGGGUUGAAGUGGAAGGCGAUGUCUGACCCGGGGGAGCCUCCCACCAUGAAGUUCACAGCGAACCUGGGAAAACAUCAGGGCCGGUUCCCGGACACUGCCAGCCAGCAUGCAGAGCCUCUCCAAGAAGCUGCUCGUGCCCGGGCCUAGCCCUCCCUGAGGCGGCCUCGGACCCAACCAGCCCUGGUGACUCAGGAAGCCUCGCUCUCUUGGCCUGCUCUGUUCCUGCCCUGCCCCAGAUCUUCCACUAACUGCCCAGGACCAUGGAGGACCCCUGCAAUAAGAGCCCAAGGGAUGACUCACCUUCACCUGGAAGCAAGCGUCCUGGGUACAAUACCGGAUGUCGCAGGCGGUGAUGAG